rnacentral:lncRNA from 1 species
UUCUUUCUUCGAUGGAAGGCUGCUACGAGAUCCAUCGCGGGAAGCCCAUACCCCCACGUGGCGUAUCUCCUGAACCGCGCUUCUUUUUACCUUCUGCCCCGUUCCUGGAGCCUUCCGGUCACUUACAAUUCAAACAAAAGAAACACCAAAAAGCUAGCUCGUGUGUCAUGGGCUCCUUUUCUCUGUCUCGGCACCAGAAGGUUCUAGAAACCGUUUGCAGACUCUCCUCAGGGACUCAGAAGGUCAGGGCGAGAGAAGGGUGGAGAGAAAUUGGGUUGCAUGUAUCGGUAGUGAGAGUGGAGAUCCUGAGGAAUAUAUCUGCUGCUUCUGCCGGUCUCUCUCCCUCAGUCAUCAAGUGCCGUCGCCGAGCACUUCUCAAACGGUCCCGAACGCACACGCACACGCACACACACAAACACACACGCCAGGAGAGUCUUGUUAACAAGCCCGUGGUCCUGCGUUUCCAGCAUGCUCACGGGACCCUAAUGCUGCUGAUCUGGAGACCUCGCUUUGAGCAGCGAGACUGCGGUAAAAUGUCCCACCUCGGGUCUUUUGUAUUUCUUUUUUUUUUAAGUUUAUUUACUUAUUUGUGUGUGUGUGUGUGUGUGUGUGUGUGUGUGUGAGAGAGAGAGAGAGAGAGAGAGAGAGAGAGAGAAUGGGGGGGGGGGGGGAGGGGCAGAGAAAGAAGAGAGAAAGAAGUCCGAGCAGGCUGUGCGCUGUCAGCGCAAAGACCGCCAUGGGGUUCAAACCCAAGAACCGUGAGAUCAUGAUCUGAAGCUGAAAUCAGGAGUCGGUCGCUCACCUGACCGAGCCACCCAGACGCCCCCGGAGUCAUUUUUAAAACAGGGUAUAGGUGACCCUAACGUGGCCAGCCGUUGCUAGAAAAAAACAAUCUCCCUUGCCCACUGCCAAGUCAGACAGACGGACCGGGUUCUGAUGGGAGUCACAGAAGCAAAAGCUUUUGUGUGUAAGUGGAGAAAAAGGAGAGGGGAGAAGAAUUGAGAGCGGAGGGGAGGGGAGGGGAAGUCAGACAAAACAAAAUGGCAUGUCUCUCCGACCGGGUCUCUUCAACUAGUUGUGAAAGCUGAGCUGAGGGGACAAAAAAGAACCCGCUGGAGGGGCGCCUGGGUGGCUCGGUCGGUCGAGUGUCCGAUUUCGGCUCAGGAGCGAGAGGACAGGGUAGAGGUGGAGACGAAGGCAGGGCUGCCGCAGGGCCAGGUAAAAAAACACAGACGCGGUGGGGAUUGGACUUGAGGACGCUGUCCUCCUGGGCUGGCAGGGACCCAACAGCCCGGCCAAGCCUGAGGAGGGAACGCUCAGGAGCGCCUGGAGUUGGAGUUGGUGUCCUUGGCAGCGGGCGGGAGGGGGGCAGACACCCUCCUGCUGUGCGUGGGCAUCCCCAAGGCUCUGUGGGGGUGUGAUGGUGGCUGAAUGGCAGCAGAAGAGGACUGGAAGAGCUUGGCAGAUGCCCCUUGCCGACCCAGGGCCCACAGGUGCCAGUCACGGAGUAGGUGUGAUACUGGGGAAUCAGUUGAAUCAAAAAUUUUAAGUUUGCUUAUUUAUGCAUAUGUUUGUGUUUUGGGUGAGAGACACAGAGAGAGAGAGGGAGAGAGAGAGAGAGAGAGAGAAUCACAAGUAGUCUCCGCACUGCCCAUUGAGGGGCUCGAACUCACACACUGUGAGAUGGUGACCUGAGCCGAAAUCAGGAGCCGAUGGUUGCUUAACCAGCUGAGCCGUCCGGGCGCGCCUGCAUCAAAAAUGUUAAAAACAGGUUAUCAGAAGAAUUUUUAAGAGAAAAAUCCAGGGGUGCCUGGCGGGCCAGUGGGUAGAGCAUGUGAUUCCUGAUCUUGGAGUUGUUGUGAGUUCGAGCCCCACGUUGGGUGUAGCGAUUACUUAAAACUAAAAUCUUUUUAAAACGAGAGAGAGAGAAGAAAAUCCGGAAAUAUAUCUAAAUACGUAUGAGGACUUUUUUUUUUUUUUUUCAUGAUCAGGGUGGCGUCUGAACCUGACGGUCCGUGGGCUAUUAUUCCGUAUAGGAUGCCGGGACGGCUGGGUAGCCAUCCAGAAAAAGUAACGUCAGACUUAUACUCCCAAUUCCUGCACUAGGACGGAUACGAAGAAGUGUGAUCUGUGCUCGAGGUGGAAAUGCAAAAUGAUGAACAAUUGAAAGGACAACGGGCAAAGAAUAGAGACACUCAGUAACUUGACCAAACUCACAAGAAGCCGGUGCGUGAACCGGAAUGAGAAACCAUUAAUCUGCAAUGGGAAAUACUCCUUUGCGAUGACAGAACACGCAUGUCUGCCAUCCCAGGCACCUCGCUGCACAGAUCAAGAUGCCCGUGACGUUCCGUGAGGGAGCCCGGUGGGGCGCCUGGCUGGCUCCGUCAGAAGAGCAUGGGACUCUCGAUGAUCUCAGGGUCGUGAGUUCAGACCCCAUGUUGGGCAUGGAGCCUACUUUAAAUAAAUAAAUAAAUAAAUAAAUAAAUAAAUAAAUA